GUACAAUAUUAAUUAUUUUCCAAAUCAAAAUUAAUUUGGCAGAAAAUUUAUUGGCCAAUAUUAAUAUAUUGAGUAUUAAUGUAUGCUUGAUUUUAAAAGAGAAACAUGGAAUAAUACUCUCAAUAUUGGCCAAUCAUCUCAUACAAACAAACAAAAUCUUAGCCAAAAGUUUCAAAACUUUAAUAAAAAUGUAGUGUACAAUAAAAAAAAAAAUACAAAUUUUUAGGACCACUUUUGAGUUUUGGAGUCUUUGACUGAUUUCUCAUCCGUAAAAGCUGUCUAGACACUAUUCUUGUUAUAAAAUAAAGUGAAAUAAAGGUUGAUUUUGACAUUUUCACUUUUUUCAUUAUGUGCUUGUUAAAUUGAUGAUUGGAAAUUUGGAAUAAGAAUACCUUUUAGUUGGUAACGGGAGAAGCUGAAAUUGGCUUUCUGAUAUGUGUGGUUAUUUUCAUAGAUUUUUGCUAUAAAAAAAUAAUUUUAUUGACAAACUCAUUUAGUAGGUUAUUUUUUUUUAUUAUUUUUGUUAUGUGGCAUGCAUGGUAAUUGUUUGAGGAAUAAUUUUUAUUUUUAUUUUUAUUUUAUAAUUUAAUAAUUAAUGAAGAUUUGAACCUUAAAUAUUUUCAUUAAAAAUAAUAAUAAGUGAUCGAGUUGAGCUACGUACAAGUCUAUAAUACUUAACAAGAAAUAAAAUUAUAAAGUUUAUCAAAAGUUCAACACAUGAGCCCUUAAUAAAACCAUUAUAAAAUUAUUAAGUUUAAAAAACUAAGUUUAUUUUGAUCGUGUAAGUUUACAUUUGAUGGGAUUUUUUUGUUUUUUUUGGAGAAAAAUUUUGAGAGGAUUUUUUUUUUUUUUUGAAUAUAAAGUAUUUGUAAUGUUUUAUCUUGAUUUUAUUAUUGGAACCACCUCAUUUAGUAGGUUGUUUUUAUUUGAGAAAUGUUACCUCUACAAUAUUUUCACAACAAAUCUUAGGUAGCAAGUUGUACUAGCUAUUAUCGAUAGACAAAAAAGUAAUUUCAGUGUUGAGUACAAAUUAGAACCGCUAACAACUUACUACUUAUGAUUUAUUAUAAAAAUGUUAUGAACGUAGCACUUCUCUCUUUAUUAUUAUUAUUAUUAUUAUUAUUAUUAUUGUGCGCACCAAAGACAGGGUCACCGAGCUGAACCCCACUUGGGCUCACAACUUAUUUGUAUGGUGGGUUUGGGUAUCCUACUUUGGGGUCGUUCUAGAUUUUGAGACUCAAUGAGAUCACUUUUCUCUCUUUUUCUGUGUUUCUUUUUCUUAGACUCUCUUUCUCUCCUCAAAAUUCCAUCCCCCUCUCCAGUCUUUAGCUCCUCCUAUUUAUAGCCAAUUAUUACUGGGGGGAUUAUCAUUUCUUUUAAGCUAGUACAAUGAGAGGUCCAAUGUUGUUAAUCGUAAGUGGGUGUUUAGGUGUGAAUGGCUUUGGAAAUGGUUCCCAGUGCAGCAAAUGUGCUUAGCGGCGAAGUUUCCCAAGGCACAGCCGAGCACACACAGGGCGGUGUGACCGAACAUUUGCAUAUUGUUCGAGGACGUCUUGCCAAGCAAUAUGCGAGCCGGAAUUGGCAGCCUGCUUCUCCGGCAUUUGAACAACACUCAACUUGGCCUCGUGGCUUUUGUGGGCUUGGGCCGGGAUCCUGAGCAAAGCAGAGGUUGGGUCCCUGAGCCAUACUAUUGAUCCAUGGCCCAAGGCCCAAAUGGACUUGGAUGUGGGGGGGUCAUACAUUAGCCCCUCUUAAUUCGUUCUCGACUUUCGGGGACGAAUCAAAGAGCCAAAGAGGCAGUGGUUGCCCGAGAAACUCAACGAGUGUGCUUUGGGCGAUUACAGAGAUCCAUUAAUGCGUUUCUCAAAAGGUGCAUUGCGUCUAACCUUCUGGUUCAGCCGCCAUUAUUACCUGUUGGUUCAUAAACCGAGGCACGGUGUCGGUUGCCCUGGGUAUCUCUAAGGUCUCUCUUUUUGCUUCAUUAUUGCUAAUUAACACUUAUUGUUGCUCAUUAACCGAUGCUCACUUUCCCUGGAUCCUAUAAAUAGUCCAUCUCAAUUCAUUUUCUCACUUUUUCAUUCUUCGUCCUCUGAAAUUUCUCUCGGUCGAGCAUUCACCUGCGUACUUGUCCACAAACCCAAAAUCCUCCUCUCCCUUAGAGCCAAAAGUAAGUCUCCUUCCCCUUUCCUCUGCUUUAAUUUCUUUUCCCCAAGCUCUUUUUGAUUCUUAGUCUUUAAGAUGGGUUUUGCUUAUCUUUUGAAUGCCGGGGUGCCCUUAGCCAGUUUUAGGCAAAACUAUAGCGUUCCUGAUGAUGUGGAGGUGAUGUAUUGCCAUGAAAGCAAAAUCGCUCUCCACAAAGGGGUAGGCACUGCCUUUUUCCUGUUGAUGUCUAUUCUAGACGAUGGGGUUAGGUUUCCUAUAGACCUUCUUUUGCAUAAUGCCCUUAGAUACUAUGGAUUGUGUCCCGACCAACUUCCCCCCAAUUUUUCCCGAGUAGUGAGUUGUGUAAGUAGGUUAAAUCAAACAUUUGGUUUGCAAUUAGAUUAUCAUGACAUAAACCACAUGUACAGCCUGUGUGGAAAGAAGAAAUCCAAUUACUAUUUAAGGUUAAAGACAUGAGGGUACGACUAAUUUCAUGCCUGCCGAACUCUAAUAGAAAUUCUGCCGGGGAAUACAUUCGGGUGCGCGGCAAUUGGUUUGCUGGUGGUAUCCCUCCCCCUUUGUCACGGCAUGAAGUGGGUUCAUUCUAAUCUUUAAUUUGUUUUAUCCCUUCCAUUCAUAGCUAUUUUAUUUACCCUAACUCUGACUCGCUAUCUUUUGCUGCAAAUGGUUCAGUGUUUACCCAAGAUUUUAGAACAGUUCACGUACAGGACCUGAACUUUGUACUCAAGUCCGAGAUUUUUGUUCAUCGAGACAGGCAGCUUCGGGCAUCCCAUCUCAUUCUCGGUGUGGACCCCAUGUACUCCACUUGGCAACCCUUCGACCAAGCUCUCAUUGUAGACAACCCUCUCCUCUCCUAUAUAGACGUUCGGCAUAUGAACUUCCUGCCCCCAAAUUUUACCGUAGGUGAAACUCGGGAUAUCGGCCCACGAUAUACCUGCUCGAAUGAGCUCACACCUAUAAGGGACAAAUCAGUCGAAGUAGCAUCUCGAUAUCUCCGGGAAUGAGCUCACGAGGCCAUCCAACGCGAAGUUGUACCUGCAGAGCCAGAGGCUCCUGCUCAGGAAGCCGAACAAGAAGCCGUAGAAUCCAGUGACUCCUCCAAGACACACUCUGUCCCUAAAGAAAUGGUGACCCGCAAGAUUUUAACAGUUAGCCUUUUUAUCCCUAACGCAAGUCAGACCAUGCAGCAACAGCCACCCUAGGGACAUGGCCCGGCUCCUCCUGCUCAUCCUCCACCUCCUUCUCCUUCCGAACGAACUCAUAAAAGACAACGGGUCGCUGAAUUAACCUCCACCAGCCCAGGUGAUGCUCAGAUCCAAACUCCCCCUCAACCGUCGGGGGGUGUUACUAUUCGGGAGCCCCCGGCCCAGGUCAGGACAAACGUGGCUUCCUCCUCUCGACUAGCGCAGUUGUGGCAACCCACAUUCGAGCUGGAUGGAAAUUCUCCCAGCUAGUGCCAGUGUAUAGGCAUGGGAGAAAGGAGAAGGGGGCCGCGUCGCCCAAAGCUUGGCACACGGGCUCCUUCUGCCCGAGGACAUGAGCGCCUUUGUAGAUGGGACUGAUGAGUCCAUGGGGAGGAGACUUCAAUGGCACACUAUCACGGCCGCUCAGCUAGCUCAUAUCCUAAACAAAAGGGUGAAGGAUCUUUCUAAGGAGGUUGACCGGGAAAAGGCCGGUAGGGAGGAGACUAUCAAAACAGCUAAGGAGAAAACAAAAAUUGUUGAUGCCGCCGAGAAGAGAGCCGUUGCCGCGAAGAAAUCCCAGGCGUCGGUUGAGAAAAGACCAGCAGAGCUGGUAUCGAAACAAAAUGAAACAGACUUGAAGCUGGCCAAAGCAGCAAGCCUGAACGUCACCUUAUCUGAGGAAGUAGCUAAUUUACGAGCAGCCCUGGAAGCUUGUGAAAAUAAAUGAUAUGACGAAGGAUUUGCUGAUGCGGAGAAGGGCGUAGAACUGGUUGUAAUGCAAGCUCGACAACUGUCUUUUCAGGAAGGCUGGAUGGCUGCCCUACAUGCCUUAGAAGUGCUUGAGGACUCCCCUCUAAGGGAUCCUAGCCGGAUUCCCUUUUCGGACUCUUCCCUAGUUGCGCAGAACCCUGCGGGACCUACUGAUGAGGAGGAGACAGAUAGUUUAAGGGAGCUAGUGGAGCAGAUUGACGCUCAUGUGGAACUGAUCGGGACAAAAGCCACCAGUAACCCCCCCACUGACGACCCUUCUAGUGAAAAUGUUCACCCCCAACCUUUUGCAUCUGAGCAUCAGUCUACCAAGAUGGCAUCCAAGACGCAGCCCGUGGGUCUUACCUUUUAAUUGCCGAACCUAUUUUACAUCAUUUCUCAUUUGCUUUACUUAAGUAACUUUUAUUUUGAGUUGGUUUGCCUACGUCGCCGGGCUGUGGCGACUAAACAAUUAUUUAAUUUCUGGGUUUAAACUUAAUGUCACCGGGUUUUGGUGACGAAGUAAUUGAUUUUUCAUGUUUGAUUUUAACUAAGGCUUAUUUGCCGACCAGUUGCUUUAAUUGCAUUUAUGAUUAUCCAACUAUAUUCUAAUCUC